UAUUAUUCGUAUCGCGUCCAUUGCUUCGCGCCAUGUUAGCUCCUAUAAUAUAUGGAUUUACAAAAUAUAACGAUUCAUUUACGACACUUUAGAUAAGGUGUGUAGGAUUUUAAGAAUUCACUUGAAUUAAUAUUUAAGAACAUAUUUCAGGAUAACUUGUGAAGAAUCUCGUACAGACGGCACCGGUUGUGAUGACUCAUUGUUACCAGAGCAGGGGCCAUCUCGUGUACACGAAGUGACAUGUGAAACCUCAACACAACUCGAAACUCAUGAGUACGAGUCUGGAGAAGAAACAAUUCCAGAUAGUGAUGAAUGGUUGCCACAACUAACAGUUACAACAGAACCCGCGGUUGUUGAAAUCACUGGUCGACGAAUAGUAAAUAUUAGUCACUUACUAAAACAACUAACAGAGCUGGCAAAACAUGGCAAUGUUUGCACUCAGGGACAAUACAAGAUUACUUCAGAAAGGAGGGUUGGCGUGAUGAGUUACUUAUAUUACGAGUGUAUAAUGUGUGAGAAAACUGUGACUGUAACAACAGAAGAAGAUACGAGAAAAGAAGAAGUCAACGACGCUUUCGUGUGGGGUGCAUUGUCAGUUGGAAUUGGCCAUUAUCAAAGUCAAGAGAUGAUGGCCAUCUUGGACGUUCCCAUCAUGGAUAAGCGAAAAUGGCAAAGACAUGAAAUUCGUAUUGAAGAGGUCUGGGAAGAAAAACUGGAGACAUACAUGCAAAAAAAUGGAACAGUAGAGAGAAAGAAGGCCUUGGAAAGAGGCCACGUAGACAACGAUGGCGUUCCGUACAUCUCUGUUUAUGUAGACGGUGCAUGGUGUAAGCGAACAUACGGACAUGCUUUCAACGCAGCAUCAGGGGUUGUAAGUAUUUUUAAGAAGUACUGCACCUAAUGUUAGCACUAAUUUGGCUCCAGGAUUUGAGUGGAUGGGAAUGUUGCCGAACACAACUCUAGAUCGUACAAUUAUUUUGUAAAUUCUUCGUUUUGAUUUAUUUCAAAAUAUUUCAUACAUACCAUUUUACAAAAUAUGUCUACGUAUUUUUUUUGAGUUAUUUUAAUUCAAGUUAUAUUUUUGGAAUCACUUUAUCCUGACAUAAAACUAGAAAAUUGUGAGCUUUUGUAGUAAUUAAAGACAUAAGCCGAAGACAAGGAGUUAAAUACAUAGACUUCAUACAAUUAACUUUAUUUGAUUUUACAUGGGUUCAGGAAUGUUUAGUAAGUAAUUUUGUGACGUGAUAUAAUUGCUUUUGAAAUUUUCUUCAAGUGGAUCAUUGGAAAUCACCUGUAGGUAUAGACAUUGCAAGUAGAAAAUUGCAGUAUAUAAAUAUGUACAGGUUAAUAAAAGUGUUUUUAUUUAACAGUCGAAACUAAACUAUCUUCUGUGCUUUAGUACGCGUGCGUGAUA